rnacentral:lncRNA from 1 species
UAAAUUAAAAUGGAAGGAAACAAAAAACAGUAAAACAGUAAUUUUAUGUGAAGUUUGGUCAAAGCUUUCAAAUGAAGCUUUGACUCUGAUUUUUUUUAGGCCAAUACCGACCUUAUCCUUUCCCCCAGUAGAUUUUUCUUCUUCUUCAUCCAUGCUCCACACCAUUCUUGAACCUUCCAUGCCAUUUUCUCUUUAUCCACCAGGAAAUCAAGUUUUCUUCACUUUCCUUUCCAUGUUUCCUUUUCCUUUCUUCUCCAAACUUCUUGAGCAUUAAAUUUACAGCCUUUAACCCCAAUUUCCAACACACCAAAAACUUAGGAGGAGAAGAAAGAAAAAGACAGAAAGGAAGAAAAAGCUUGGUUUUGGUGAUUCAAGUAAGGAAAGGUAAGGAUUCUUGUUUUUAGCUUGAGUAGUCUUUGAAAAUAAGUUAGUGACUUAGAGAAAUGUCUUGUGGUGGCAAAGAUUGGCUUGAUUGGAGAAAAAUUGAUAACAUGUAAGCCAAUAAACCCAUGGGUACAUGAAGGACUCAAAGUGGAAAAGGAAAACGGUAAGCUUAACACUAUGUUUUAAGGCUUACGGUUAGUCGAAUAUUGUGAGGAAUUAUGGUUGUUGAAAGGAUUUAUUUGCCUAAGCUAGUUGAAAAUUAUUAAGAUUUUAUGGCAUAUUGUUUAAAAGAAAUGAAAAAGGAAUAUUGUGGAUGGAGGAUUGAGAAACAAAGUAUUGAAAGUUAGAUAGAUAACAAUGCAUGUAAACUAGGAAAUAAUCAAGUGAAAGUGAGAAUGAUUGUUGCUGCCACAUAUGUGGAUUAUGUGUGGAAAUAUAAAAUGAAUUUGGAUAGAAAUUAUUUAUAAAGGUUGAAGUAGGCACGUGGCAUCAUAAAUAAGUUUUCGGUGAUAUAAUCUAAGGAAUUACGUACGCAAUGGAUAUAAGUAAUUUUAGUAAAAAUGUAUUAAGAGGUAAGUUAAUUGAAGAUGGUUUCAUAAUAGGAUGAAAAAUAUAAAUUUAAGUAAGGAUUAAUUAAUUGAAGUGUAUCCCGUAUACGUAUGUAAUUAAAUAUAUUGAGUUCGUAUUAUUGUUAGAAAGUGCAAGGAUAAGGUUAGAGAUGUGGUGGCAUGCUGGAGUAAAUAACGAGCGAUCGACCAGUGAAAAUAGUUAGAGACACCUUUGAACAAAUAGCGACUUAAUAUCUCUUUGUUUUCAGGUGAGUGAACUUGCAUUAAAAUGUUUUGGGAUAUACACAUUUAUGUUUGAUUGAAUCCCUUAAAAUGUUUUAUUGGUUUUUCUUCAAAAACUUGCACGGGAACAAGCCUUUAGUGAAAUGUUUUUGUGAGGUGGAACAUGAUUGUGAUGAAUCUAUGUACUUCUAUAUGAUGCUGAUAUGUAUAUAAGGAUAUAUGAUACAUAUAUAUUGUUAAGUAAUUUUGUAUAAUUGAUGUAACCGUGCAUGUGCAGAGUGGGUAGUGCACAUGCCGGUUGAAUGACAAUGUCAUGAUAAUUACAACCGUGCAUGUGCAAGUGGGCACUGCACAUGCCGGUAAUGAUGCUGUCAUGAUAUUUACAGUCGUGCAUGUGCGGAGUGGGUAGUGCACAUGCCAGUGAUGAUGCACAUGAGCUGGGUGAGAUGGGGUGUCCGGUUAUGUGCACUAUGUGGGGGGAUGCACAUGAGCUUGAUGAAAUAUGGUGGUAUACUAAUUGAUAUAUGCUUAAGUACAUGUAUCUACAAUAGAAAGAUUAUGAUUAUAAUAUGUGAUUAUAUGACAUGAUGAAUCUUGAAAAUUUUCCAUUUUCUUGUGAAUUGAUUUUAUUGUAGCAAGAAACAUUCUGUUUAUACUGCUUUGCUUAGAUGAUUGUUGAAAAUUCUCUCUCUUUCCAAUUUCAUGCUAAAUAUGGUUCCUUCAUUAUGAAAUGAUUUAAUAACCAGAGGUUUGAUGGAGGGAUUUUAAUAAGAACGUGAACUAAGUUGCAUUGUUUUCAAAGAUGGGCAUCAUGAUUUCUAAACCUUCCUUAACGUUGCUUGUUCCCUUCCUAUGUUCACUCACUGAGUUUGUACUCACAUUUUUAAAAAUUCAUGUUUUAGGUUUUCCUGAGUUAAAGGUGAUUGGAUCCUAGGACAAGGUGCUCCUUUCUAUACAUUGCUCGGUAGGUUUAAUGUGACAUUAAGUGUUAUCAAUCGUGCCCAGAGUCACUCCGCUGAAGGUCAAGGUCUAAUUAUGUGUAUCUGAAUAUUUACUGUGAAACAUUAAAAAUCAUUUGUUAAUCUAUUUAUGAAUAUAUUGGUGGAUGAUGCCAUUAUGAAUGUAUUAUUGGAUUUUAUGAAUCGUUUUCAAGGAAACAGUAUUUGAACAUUUUGAGCUUUGGAUUCUAAAGGAAUAAGGAUUAAUGUAUAAGAUCAAUUAAGUAGGCUUGCUUGGGCUUAGUGGGCUGAGCCCAUUAGGUCCUUGUGCCGGUCAUGGCCCCAGAAUUGGGCUAUGACAAACUCCAUCUCGAGUCUUA